rnacentral:rRNA from 1 species
AUUGAACGCUGGCGGCAUGCCUUACACAUGCAAGUCGAACGGUAACAGGUCUUCGGAUGCUGACGAGUGGCGAACGGGUGAGUAAUACAUCGGAACGUGCCUAGUAGUGGGGGAUAACUACGCGAAAGAGUGGCUAAUACCGCAUGAGAUCUACGGAUGAAAGCAGGGGAUCGCAAGACCUUGUGCUACUAGAGCGGCCGAUGGCAGAUUAGGGAGUUGGUGGGAUAAAAGCUUACCAAGCCGACGAUCUGUAGCUGGUCUGAGAGGACGAUCAGCCACACUGGGACUGAGACACGGCCCAGACUCCUACGGGAGGCAGCAGUGGGGAAUUUUGGACAAUGGGCGCAAGCCUGAUCCAGCAAUGCCGCGUGCAGGAUGAAGGCCUUCGGGUUGUAAACUGCUUUUGUACGGAACGAAAAGCCCUGGGUUAAUACCCUGGGGUCAUGACGGUACCGUAAGAAUAAGCACCGGCUAACUACGUGCCAGCCGCCGCAGUAAAAC